rnacentral:rRNA from 1 species
GACGGGGGGUCCAAGCGUUGUUCGGAAUCAUUGGGCGUAAAGCGUGUGCAGGUGGCUCUGUAAGUUGGAUGUGAAAGCCCCGGGCUCAACUCGGGAAGUGCAUUCAAAACUACAAAACUUGAGUAAGGAAGAGGGUCGUGGAAUUCCAGGUGUAGUGGUGAAAUACGUAGAUAUCUGGAGGAACACCGGUGGCGAAGGCGGCGACCUGGUCCUAUACUGACACUCAUACACGAAAGCGUGGGGAUCAAACAGG